rnacentral:misc_RNA from 1 species
GCCGAUUCGAUAAAAUUUGAAACUCAUCGCCCCCUUGAUUGUUAAUACAUUACUAUCAUAAAUAAAGCAAGCAGAACAUGCCAAACCAGGCAGCAGCCUUACAAAGAGCUAAAAGGGCCUAACCAGCUAACAAAGCUAAACCCGCCAACAAUCCAUCCAAUGGCAGAAUCCGCUAACUUUUCCUACUACAAACAUAAUAAACCAUGUCUCACAUUUUAACAUUUAUAAUCAAAAGAACAUCUGAAUUUCAAAAUUGCCAGAAUGUUCUAUCUUUUAGAUCUUAUUUGGUAAAGAAAAACAUACUUCUGAAGGCAGGAAACGCCAUUUAACAUCCGAAAUAUUGCGGUGCCCAUGGCCACAUUCUGACAAAAACAAAUCGAGGUACAUGAUACUAAGCUUCAACAAUCUAUUGAGCAUUUCUGCGCAUGAACCAUAUGCUUGAUAUAGAUGGGAUUCCAAACUGUUAAAGAUGCAGUCUACAGAGCAUGAACCAAAAUCCAUACCUUUAGCAUCUCAUCAUAUCACCCAACCGUAGAACACUGCCGAUUGAUGUUUCUCUCAGCAUGCUACACCAUUUUAUAUCUUCAUGCCAAAACUUAAGUAGCAAAUAACCUUUCCCCUUUCACAAAUUUGUACGCUGCUUACUAAUCACUUCACAUUUAAGUUUCUUACUGAAACUAGAUAGUUAAGGAGGUUGCUUCUCUGCAAAAAGAAAACCUUUCUAAUGAUCUGAUUCAACUGAACUUGCUACUAAAAAGCAGGCUAAAAUGUUAAACCAUUUGUAAGAAUAUGAAUUUCAAUGAAAAACUUAAAUCAAUGCAUUUCCAUUAUUCCACACCCAGGAAUUAUGUUUAGUAGGGGCACAAAAAUUUAUUAAUAAGAUACCUUCUCAUAUAAAAAAACAAUAGAUACAACUCUCAAUAUGGUACCAUUUCAUGAGCAUGAGAAAGUGAAUUCACAUGGAAAGCACAUUCACUUUUAAAAUGGGGGUCAAAAAAAUAAUGCGAUUCCCCUACAUUCAACAUGUGUGUGAUAGAUUGGACAACCUUUUUUUUUUGUUUUUUUUAUGUCCCUUUUUCUUCUCUUCAAACUGCAAAGGAAAGAGACCCAAUAAUCCACUUACUAAAAGUUUGAGAUCAUUUUUUACUAAUUGAUAUCUACUUCUCACUCUUUUCACAUUUUUUCCUUUUCUAUUUUCAUAUUUUUGGUUUAACAAGUGUGAUGAUGCUAAACUUACAAGGCACAUACCUUGGCUUUUCUCUUUUUGAAGUAAUAGUUAAUCAAUAAUGAUUAGAAUUUCAGUGGACAUCAUAAAUCAUAUUUUCAAUAUAGGCGGAGAUUAGCAGAACGUAGCCAACCCAACUAGUUUGGGAUUAAGGCUUAGUAGUAGUAGUAGUUGUUGUUAUUGUUAUUGCUGCCACGAUGGAUUUAAUAGACCUGAUAGACAAGAAUUUUAUAAGCAAUGGGCAAACUUUUCUAAGAACAUAGAGGCAACUAAAUUGUAAGUGGCGGCAUAAAUAAAAAUGUAAAUAUACUAUUUACAUGACUACAAAAUUUCCAAGUUUGAAUGGGAGAACUUGUCCCCACUUUAACUUGGUACUGCCCCUGACCCCCAAACAAGUUUACAACCAUGCCAAAUAGUAGCUUCCUGCGACAAUUGUGAACAUGUCUAAAGGGUAAUGCUUAUAGUGAACAGUGGCUUUGUGAAGUUUCUACACAUAAAAACCUAUAAGACAAAAAAUACCGUCAUGCAACCUAACCUACAACAACAUUAACAAGGGAAACGCCACGAAAUAGAAAUGUUUGUCUUUUCUUCUUAAAAAAAGCUCUUAAAAAAACCAGACACAAAGCAAAAGAGUACAAGCGCUGAACUUACAAUGCCACCAAACAGAUUAUUUAGGAGCCUUGUCACCCAAAUACUUCUUCAAAACAUCCAUGACGGCCCCAAAAUCUGCCUUAACUUGCACAGGCGGGUUAGCAAACGUGCAAGCCAUAUCUGGUAUUGCUUUGGAGUGGUAAUCAACCUUAGACUGAGUAAAUUUCAACCCAUGAGCUGUGCUCACCACUACUGUCCUAUCCAUAGGCCCUACAACCCCACUAUUCCUUAGCUUAAUCAAGGCUGUCAGUGCAACCCCAGUAUGAGGGCAUAUAAACAUCCCAGUAGAAUCAGCUUGUGCCAUUGCAUCCAUCAACUCCUCCUCUGUGGCUUCCUCAACAAUCCCAUUCGAAUUCUUCAAAGCAUAAACAGCUCUAUCUAUAGAAACCGGGUCUCCAAUCUGUAUAGCUGAAGCAAAUGUAGAAUUCGCUUUCACGGGCUUAAACUCUUCCCACCCCGACUUGUAAUACAAGUACAGCGGAUUAGCAUUUGCUGCUUGAGCACAAACUAGCCUUGGCAUUCUGUCAACAAGCCCCAACUCAUGACACAUUUUGAACCCUUUAUAAAAGGCAUAUAUAUUCCCUAAAUUACCACCGGGAACUAUAACCCAAUGCGGAACUUCCCAAUCAAACUGCUGCAAAAUCUCAAUUGCAGCAGUUUUUUUGCCCUUCAAGCCUCAAACUAUUCAAAGAAUUCGCCAAAUAAAUGGGCAAUUCCGCUGUAACCUCUCGGAUUAAUUUCAUACACCCAUCGAAAUCUGUAUCUAUGCUCAAUACAAAAGCUCCAUUUGCAAUUGGCUGAACCAAUUGCGCAAUUGAGAUCUUGUUUGCGGGCAAGAAGACAAUGGAUGGAAUUCCGGCCGACGCGCAAUAGGCCGAAAGAGCCGCUGAGGUGUCUCCGGUGGAAGCGCAGCCAACUCCAACGACGGGCCGUUUCAUUUUUCGCAAACGGUUCACUUGGCUGACCAAAACAGUCAUUCCCAGAUCCUUAAAACUGCCGGUGUGGCUAAUGCCGCAGUGCUUAACCCACAGAUCGUUCAUGCCCAGAAACUGCUUGCCAAAACGCUCAGCCCAAAACAGAUUCGAGUUUCCUUCAAAAGCAGAGACUAUAUCGUCAGGAUCAAUCUCCGGUAACACCCAUUCCUUCUUAGACCACACUCCCGACCCGUAAGGCCAAGUGGUCUUGCCCACGCGCGAGUCGAACAGGUCGCGCCAGUACACACCGUCAAAUUUCUUCAGCGCUUCCAUGUCGUGCUGGACAUCGAGGAGACCACCGGACCGACUCCUGUACACGAUCUCGUCAAGGGAGUACCACUCGCGUGAGUCCGGCCCGGCGUUAAACGGGACGUACUUAGCUGAAAAAGUAUUCGCAGCCAAGCCGGAGCGUUGGCGCCGAGCCUCAUCGCGGAUGUUCUCGUCAGCAGGACGGCGGUGCUUGGUUACCGCGGGGGUGUUGUUGGACGAAGAGGAAGGAUCAAGCGUGGAAGAGGUGCAAGAAAUUAUUGUUGGCGAACGACGAAAGGUGGCUAGUUUCGGGUUUUGAUGGAAUCGUUUCCGUUUGUAGCUUAGAGAAGAAGCAAAAGAGGAGUGGAGGAGUGAGGAAGAAGCAGCCAUGUCUGUGAGUGAGUGAGGGAGGCGGCGGAUGGCUUCGUGUGCUUGAUUUGGGUUUUUUUUGCUUAUUUUACAGAUAAAUAGGAUUUGAUGCGCGUGGUGGUUGUUAACAAACGGGGAGGACAGUUGGUGUGUGGGUCCGAUUGGUUUGCCCAUGUUCGUACAUAGGCCCGGCCACGGCCGGAACUACCGGUUCAAUCGACUUCACGACUAGGAUCAAUUUCAGUUCGAAAAUGAUUCUGAUUUAAA